ACGGAAGGCAGCAGUGGGGAAUAUUGCACAAUGGGCGCAAGCCUGAUGCAGCGACGCCGCGUGGGGGAUGAAGGCCUUCGGGUUGUAAACUCCUUUCGCUAUCGACGAAGCCUUCGGGUGACGGUAGGUAGAUAAGAAGCACCGGCUAACUACGUGCCAGCAGCCGCGGUAAUACGUAGGGUGCAAGCGUUGUCCGGAAUUACUGGGCGUAAAGAGCUCGUAGGUGGUUUGUCGCGUCGUCUGUGAAAUCCCGGGGCUUAACUUCGGGCGUGCAGGCGAUACGGGCAUAACUUGAGUGCUGUAGGGGAGACUGGAAUUCCCGGUGUAGCGGUGAAAUGCGCAGAUAUCAGGAGGAACACCGAUGGCGAAGGCAGGUCUCUGGGCAGUUACUGACGCUGAGGAGCGAAAGCAUGGGUAGCGAACAGGAUUAGAUACCCUGGUA
rnacentral:rRNA from 1 species